rnacentral:rRNA from 1 species
AUUGAACGCUGGCGGAAUGCUUUACACAUGCAAGUCGAACGGUAGCACGGGGGCAACCCUGGUGGCGAGUGGCGAACGGGUGAGUAAUACAUCGGAACGUGCCCAGUCGUGGGGGAUAACGUAGCGAAAGUUACGCUAAUACCGCAUACGAUCUACGGAUGAAAGCGGGGGACCGUAAGGCCUCGCGCGAUUGGAGCGGCCGAUGUCAGAUUAGGUAGUUGGUGAGGUAAAGGCUCACCAAGCCGACGAUCUGUAGCUGGUCUGAGAGGACGACCAGCCACACUGGGACUGAGACACGGCCCAGACUCCUACGGGAGGCAGCAGUGGGGAAUUUUGGACAAUGGGCGCAAGCCUGAUCCAGCCAUUCCGCGUGCAGGACGAAGGCCUUCGGGUUGUAAACUGCUUUUGUACGGAACGAAAAGGCUCGGGUUAAUACCUGGGGCUCAUGACGGUACCGUAAGAAUAAGCACCGGCUAACUACGUGCCAGCAGCCGCCGUAA